rnacentral:lncRNA from 1 species
ACAGACAUUAUUAGUACUGUGUGUAUAUAUGUGAAUGCAUGACCAAUGUGAUUCUGCAACCUGUAUAAUCAGAAAAAUGAGGUAUUAUAUCCCAUCUAUUUCAAAUGUAUGAUAUGUCAAGGUCAUUGUACUGUCAUGGGUAACUAAUUAAAACAAAUUUUAAAAAAAAACUUAAAAAAAAAAAGCCUUGGAGAGACUACACCUAAAGUAAUGAAUGUCCAGUACAGGGCACGUGUUUGAAGUUAGAUUAGAGAGCCAUUGGGAUAGAUGGAUAGGAUAAGAUUAGUAGCUAUUAAAUGAGAAUUCUUUAUAAUUUCAUGCAUGGUAGACAAUAUGUAUUUAUUGGUGUUCAUUAAAUAAGUAACAUGCAUAAAUGCAAAUCACUCAAUUUUCUCACUCCAUGUUCAUACUUCUUACUGAUAAAUUGCAAAAAUGUUAUGCAAAUCAUGAGAGAAUUUGCCCUCAGUGUUUUAUGACACAAUAAGCACACAAAAUAUCAGAAGUAUUUAUUCCAAUAGCCUCUUUAGCAAAUAGAGGCCAAAUUGGCAUUUUAUGUACAAAUAUCUUUCCACAGGAAGAUGUGAUUUUCCAUAUCUUAAUGUCAGAUGUAAAUUUUUGUCACCAGCGUCACCAUAGACAGGAGCUGACAAUAAAGUUUUUAUUCCUUUGGUUUAUAUUCAUAAGAAAUUUAUAAGGUCCAAAGAACUGUUUUCUUGUAAAGGCACAUAAACUUUAAGAAUAAUAUAAAUAUGAUAGAUACAUCUAAUUUAGGAUUCUUGGUAAAAUCUUGGUCAUUCUUGGUAUAUAGCCAUAUUUUAUAAGGAAGCACUUCUGGGAUUAGAUUAUAAAUUUCUUAGUAACAAUUUUAGGUGUAUUCCAGAAAACAUGAGCUAAAUGAAUACUUGCAUCUUAAUGUGGGCUCCAUGGAAGAUUUAGUGUUUCUCCCCAACCUCUGUGGCUUGCCCAUUUGUCUAUUUGCAUGUGUUUUGCUCAGUUAUUUUUUCCUCAUUCAUGAUUUAAAAUUUUAUUGUCACACCUCACCCCUGGCUCACUUUUGUUUUACAUUUCGAGUGCU